CAUUACUAUAAAAAGGUAAUAAUGGCUUAUAUAAAUUACAUUGAUUCUAUUUUAAGCAAAGAGUUCAGAGAUUUUCAGUAACCUUUAAAAAUGUUUAAUGACUUUAAAUCUGUAGAAUUGAAAAGAAGCUAAAUUUAUUUGUCAUGACAAAAGCUGUACCAUUGGAUAGGCACAAGAGUAUUGGGCUUAGUGGUCUGCAUUCUCUUGGUUUUUCCCAUAUCAGAUCAUCUUCCAUCAGAGUAUAUGUACUACUUUUUAGUUUACUCUUCUAAGAAAAUUGUAUAAAACUUAUUCCCUCAUUCAGAAUUUCUCAUCGUCUAUGCCUAAAACUGUAUACUGAGCUUAUAGAAAUAAGGUUUGUCAUAUUUUUUUAGAACAAGGAGUAUCAAAGUGUUUUUUACACAGAGAUGUAAAUCUUAUUACCACCAAAAAAAGCUAGAUUAGUCGCUUAAGGUAUUUACAAAUCUUGAUAAAUAAUAGCCUUCCACAUUUGACAAAUCUUAUCUUUCCUCAAAAAUCUUUUUAAAUUUCAAAGUAGUUUUGAUUCACAAAAUGUUAUGGAAGUAUUGGAGUUCCAUCACUGAUUUCCCCCCAAUGAUAACAUUUUACUUAACCAUAGUAAAAUUAGUCUUAGUAUCAAGACUAAGAAAUUGACUUUGGUAUACCAUUCCAUAAACUGCAGGCCUUAUUUGGAUUUUACCAGUCUCAUCUCUUUAAAAACUUCAUUGACUUUAUUUAGACUUAUUGAACAAUAUAUUUUAUGUUCCAUCUAUAUUGUUUAUUGAAGUUUUAAGUUGAUGGCAAAAUUAAGUGGAAAUUACAAUUUCUAUAUAGUCUCUGCUCCUGAACUUGUACAGCAUCCCCUACUAUCAACAUCCCCACCAGGUGGUACAUUUGUUACAUUCAAUGAACCUACAUUGAUACAUUAUUAUCACUCAAAGUCCAUAAUGUACAUUAGAGUUUAUUCAGUGUUGUACAUUCUAUGAGUUUUGACAAAUGAAUAAUGACAUAUAUUCAUCAUACAAAAUAGUUUCAUUGCCCGAAAAAUCUUCAGUGUUUUGUUCAUUCCCCUACUCCCAAUCUCAGGCAACCACUGACCUUUAAUUGUCUCCAUAGUUGUCUUUUCCAGAGUGUUAUACAUUUAGAUCGUUUAAUAUGUAAACUCUUCAGAUUGGCCUUUUUUCACAUAGGAAUUUGCAUUUAGUUUCCUCCCUUUCUUUGCAUGGUUUGACAGCUUAUUUCUUUUUAGUGCUGAAUAACAACAGCCCGUUGUCAAAAUGUGCCCAGUUUUAUCUACUCAGCUACUGACUGACAAAUAUCAUUGAUGAAAAAACACCAUCACAAGCAACUUAAAGGACAUUGGCUGUAAGUAAACAUUUUAGGUAGAAGCAGCAUGGUGUAGUGGGAAACACAUGAGAAGACCUGGAUUUACUACAUCCUGUCCGUGAGCACGUAAUUCAGCCUUUCUGAACCUCAUUUCCUCAUCUGUGAAACAGGAUAACAUUUUAAUAACUUGCAGUGUUAUUGAAACGAAAUGAGACAAUUUAGAAAAGA